rnacentral:rRNA from 1 species
UGGGGAAUAUUGCACAAUGGGCGCAAGCCUGAUGCAGCCAUGCCGCGUGUGUGAAGAAGGCCUUCGGGUUGUAAAGCACUUUCAGCGGGGAGGAAGGCGUUAAGGUUAAUAACCUUGGCGAUUGACGUUACCCGCAGAAGAAGCACCGGCUAACUCCGUGCCAGCAGCCGCGGUCAUACGGAGGGUGCAAGCGUUAAUCGGAAUUACUGGGCGUAAAGCGCACGCAGGCGGUCUGUCAAGUCGGAUGUGAAAUCCCCGGGCUCAACCUGGGAACUGCAUUCGAAACUGGCAGGCUAGAGGCUUGUAGAGGGAAGUAGAAUUCCAGGUGUAGCGGUGAAAUGCGUAGAGAUCUGGAGGAAUACCGGUGGCGAAGGCGGCCCACUGGACAAAGACUGACGCUCAGGUGCGAAAGCGUGGGGAGCGAACAGG